rnacentral:rRNA from 1 species
CACGAGUUUGAUCAUGGCUCAGAUUGAACGCUGGCGGAAUGCUUUACACAUGCAAGUCGAACGGUAGAGGGGGCAACCCUUGAGAGUGGCGAACGGGUGAGUAAUAUAUCGGAACGUGCCCAGUCGUGGGGGAUAACGUAGCGAAAGUUACGCUAAUACCGCAUACGAUCUAAGGAUGAAAGCGGGGGAUCGCAAGACCUCGCGCGAUUGGAGCGGCCGAUAUCAGAUUAGGUAGUUGGUGGGGUAAAGGCUCACCAAGCCAACGAUCUGUAGCUGGUCUGAGAGGACGACCAGCCACACUGGAACUGAGACACGGUCCAGACUCCUACGGGAGGCAGCAGUGGGGAAUUUUGGACAAUGGACGCAAGUCUGAUCCAGCCAUUCCGCGUGCAGGAUGAAGGCCCUCGGGUUGUAAACUGCUUUUGUACGGAACGAAAAGGUUUCUCUUAAUACGAGGAGCUCAUGACGGUACCGUAAGAAUAAGCACCGGCUAACUACGUG